rnacentral:rRNA from 1 species
GUGGGGAAUUUUGCGCAAUGGGCGAAAGCCUGACGCAGCAACGCCGCGUGUGUGAUGAAGGUCUUCGGAUUGUAAAGCACUUUCGACCGGGACGAACCGCCGGAGCCUAACAUGCUCCGGUCUGACGGUACCGGGAGAAGAAGCACCGGCUAACUCUGUGCCAGCAGCCGCGGUAAUACAGAGGGUGCAAGCGUUGUUCGGAAUUAUUGGGCGUAAAGCGCGUGUAGGCGGCCAUGCAAGUCGGGUGUGAAAGCCCUCGGCUCAACCGAGGAAGUGCGCCCGAAACUGCGUGGCUUGAGUACCGGAGAGGGUGGCGGAAUUCCCCAAGUAGAGGUGAAAUUCGUAGAUAUGGGGAGGAACACCGGUGGCGAAGGCGGCCACCUGGACGGCUACUGACGCUGAGACGCGAAAGCGUGGGGAGCAAACAGGAUUAGAAACCCGUGUAGUCC